rnacentral:lncRNA from 1 species
AUGGGACAGCAACCGAGUCUUCCAGGAGAGGAGAGGGGCUGUUGUCUCCAAGGAGGCAGCCAGACCAAGCGCUCAGGAAGGCUCACCCAUCUGAGCUUGGUCUCUUUCUACACGGCCCUGUGGGAAGAGAGGACACCAAGGAAGUCAGAGCACAGUGUGCAGCUCAGGGUUUGUGACCACAGUGGAUUUCAGCAAGAAGUUGGUUAAGUCUGAGCACGGAUGUCAGUCAGAGAAGCUUCCUCAAACAUCAUGUUGCAAUGGAGACCAAGUCUCUCUGUGGUACCUACCUCUCAAAGACAGGAUCCUAAGAAAGGCAUCGGGGGCAUCAAAGCAGAUAUGUUGGCAUAUAUGUGUGAGACAGUUUUAUGUCAACUCGAGACAAAGUAAAGUCAUCUGAGGGAAGGGAACUUCAACGAAGAAAAUGUCUCCAUAAAACCCUAUAGGGGAUUUUCUUAGCGAUUGAUGGAGAGGGCCCAGUCCAUGGUGGGUGGUGCCAUCCCUGGGCAAGUGGUCCUGGG